rnacentral:rRNA from 1 species
CCUACGGGUGGCAGCAGUGGGGAAUAUUGGGCAAUGGGCGCAAGCCUGACCCAGCAACGCCGCGUGAAGGAAGAAGGCUUUCGGGUUGUACACUUCUGUUAAUAGGGAAGAGCAGACGUCUAUACCUCUUUAAUAAUCCACGACUAACUACGUGCCAGCAGCCGCGGUAAUACGAAGGUGGCAAGCGUGGUCCGGCUUUACUGGCUGUAAAGGGCGGGUAGCCGGGGUGACAAAUCAGAUGUGAAAUUCCGGGGCUCAACCACGGACCUGCAUUUGAAACUGGUGGUCUUGAGUAUCGGAGAGGAAAGCGGAAUUCCUAGUGUAGCGGUGAAAUGCGUAGAUAUUAGGAGGAACACCAGUGGCGAAGGCGGCCUGCUGGACGAGAACUGACGGUGAGGCGCGAAAGCGUGGGGAGCAAACAGGAUUAGAUACCCUGGUAGUC